CUACGGGAGGCUGCAGUGGGGAAUAUUGCACAAUGGGCGCAAGCCAGAUGCAGCCAUGCCGCGUGUAUGAAGAAGGCCUUCGGGUUGUAAAGUACUUUCAGCGGGGAGGAAGGGAGUAAAGUUAAUACCUUUGCUCAUUGACGUUACCCGCAGAAGAAGCACCGGCUAACUCCGUGCCAGCAGCCGCGGUAAUACGGAGGGUGCAAGCGUUAAUCGGAAUUACUGGGCGUAAAGCGCACGCAGGCGGUUUGUUAAGUCAGCUGUGAAAUCCCCGGGCUCAACCUGGGAACUGCAUCUGAUACUGGCAAGCUUGAGUCUCGUAGAGGGGGGUAGAAUUCCAGGUGUAGCGGUGAAAUGCGUAGAGAUCUGGAGGAAUACCGGUGGCGAAGGCGGCCCCCUGGACGAAGACUGACGCUCAGGUGCGAAAGCGUGGGGAGCAAACAGGAUUAGAUACCCCUGUAGUC
rnacentral:rRNA from 1 species